UAGCUCUAAUAAGUUGCAGUCCA
rnacentral:siRNA from 1 species